UACGAAGGGGGGCUAGCGUUGUUCGGAAUUACUGGGCGUAAAGCGUAUGCAGGCGGAUCGUUAAGUCGGGGGGUGAAAUCCCUCGGCUCAACCGAGGAACUGCGUCCGAUACUGGCAGGCUGGAAUCCGGGAGAGGGAUGUGGAAUUCCAGGUGUAGCGGUGAAAUGCGUAGAUAUCUGGAGGAACACCGGUGGCGAAGGCGGCAUCCUGGACCGGUAUUGACGCUGAGGCGCGAAAGCUAGGGGAGCAAACGGG
rnacentral:rRNA from 1 species